rnacentral:rRNA from 1 species
CCGGCACGGGUGAGUAACGCGUAUGCGACCUGCCCGUUGCAGGGGGGAUAAUCGGGAGAAAUCCCGUCUAAUACCGCGUAACGCCGCGGGGCUGCAUGGCCCUGCGGCCAAAGGGAGCGAUUCCGGCAACGGAUGGGCAUGCGUGACAUUAGCUAGUUGGCGGGGCAACGGCCCACCAAGGCGACGAUGUCUAGGGGUUCUGAGAGGAAGGUCCCCCACCACUGGUACUGAGACACGGACCAGACUCCUACGGAAGGCAGCAG